rnacentral:rRNA from 1 species
UACGAGGGGGGCGAGCGUUGUUCGGAAUUAUUGGGCGUAAAGGGUGCGUAGGCGGUUCCGCAAGGCCUGUGUGAAAUCUUCGGGCUCAACUCGAAGUCUGCACGGGAAACUGCGGGGCUUGAGUGUGGGAGAGGUGAGUGGAAUUCCUGGUGUAGCGGUGAAAUGCGUAGAGAUCGGGAGGAACACCAGUGGCGAAGGCGGCCUUCUGGACCAGUACUGACGCUCAUGCACGAAAGCGUGGGGAGCAAACAGG